CCGGCGCACGGGUGAGUAACGCGUAUGCAACCUGCCCGUUUCAGCGGGAUAACCCGGAGAAAUCCGGCCUAAUACCGCAUGUGGCCGAGGGGAGGCAUCUUCUUUCGGCCAAAGGAGGCGACUCCGGAGACGGAUGGGCAUGCGUGACAUUAGCUAGUUGGCGGGGUAACGGCCCACCAAGGCGACGAUGUCUAGGGGUUCUGAGAGGAAGGUCCCCCACACUGGUACUGAGACACGGACCAGACUCCUACGGGAGGCAGCAG
rnacentral:rRNA from 1 species